UAAUCCAACCAUUUCACGUAAAAAAGCAUGGGUUCUCGUCUGAUCACUGAAUUUAAGAUAGGUUAACCCCAGUUAUUACUUGCAUGGGUAACCGGUUGGGAAUAUCAGGUGUUGCUGGCA
rnacentral:rRNA from 1 species